GUUUUAAUAAUUUAAAUUCAAAAUAAUGAUUUUGUAAAUCAUAAAUAAGUUAAUACUUUUAAAACU
rnacentral:tRNA from 1 species